UUGGAGGGCAAGUCUGGUGCCAGCAGCCGCGGUAAUUCCAGCUCCAAUAGCGUAUAUUAAAGUUGUUGCAGUUAAAAAGCUCGUAGUUGAAUUUCGGGAUCAAUAUAUCGGUCGUGCCUUCGGUACGUACUGGUAUCAUUGGUUUCUCCUUCCUGACGAACCAUGAUGUCAUUAAUUUGGUGUUAUGGGGAGUUAGGUCUUUACUUUGAAAAAAUUAGAGUGUUUAAAGCAGGC
rnacentral:rRNA from 1 species